CCCUGGCUCCCAUACAGCUGGGCCUAAAACAUUAUAUCAAACAAUAUAACACGAUAAAACACAACAAAACACAUACCAAGAUGUAUGAUAUAGUGUGUAUGGGAGCCAGGGUGAGGGCUACCUGUUGAGUUAUAUUGUAUUUUUGUUAUAUUAUCGCACAACACAACACAAUAUAAUUAAGCAAUAUCACACAAAAGGGAUUACUGUUGUACUGAAUAUCAGCACGUGUUGUGGUGUCAGCAGUCUGCUGUGUUUUCCUCCGCCUGGUCUGCCACUCCUCCUGUCUGUCUCACCUCACACCUGGCCCUCAUCUACAAUCAUGCUCACCUGGUCUUCAUCCCCAAUCAACCCCCUUCAUAAACCCUUGGAUUCCCUGCUGUCGGCGCCAGAUCGUACUACGCACUACCGUGUUACCCGGAUCACUCACUCCAGCUCGCCCACCUCGCUCUUCCCCCGGCUCCCUCAUCCACUACCUGCUUCCCACCUUGUUCAAUAAACCCCUUUUUAUCCCUUCAA